GUCAUUAAAGUGAAACCACACUAGCUUUUCAAGCUACCCUAUUUCCCACAAAAGGGAAUAAUGAUA
rnacentral:tRNA from 1 species